rnacentral:rRNA from 1 species
AGCAGCCGCGGUAAUUCCAGCUCCAAUAGCGUAUAUUAAAGUUGUUGCAGUUAAAAAGCUCGUAGUUGAACUUCAGACCUGGCUGGGUGGUCCGCCUCACGGCGUGUACUAUUCGGCUGGGCCUUACCUCUUGGUGAACCGGCGUGCCCUUUAUUGGCGUGCGUCGGGGAACCAGGACUUUUACCUUGAGAAAAU